UUUCAUGCGUUCAUUGAACGAAUAGCUGUAUUGCUGGUAAUUCAACAAAACGAUGUAAUAUACAACGUAGUAUUCGAUAAAUCGUUGCUUAGAACUGUUGUGGUUUUGUUGUGUUGAAGUUUGUCUUUUCUCUAAAUGUCAGAAACUAAUAACACUGAUGUUAUAACAGUCGCACCGAAGCCAACGGGUUUCACUUCGUUACCAAGUGCAGAAACUGUUGAUGCUGAACGAAAAAAACGUGAGGAGUCAACGCAAGAUUGUCUUGCAGAAUGUUGUAUGGAAAUGUGUACCGAGCCAUGCGGUCAAAUGUGUGCCGAAUUGAUUCGUUUCUGGUGUUGCCUCAGAUGUUGGUCAGAUCUAUUGGGGGCAUCGAGCAGUGAUUCCAGUGCAUGUUGUUGCUGCUGUGAUGGAUGUUCUGGAGGAGAGUGUUGCGGAGAUUGUGGUGAUUGUAGCGGAUGUUGCGACCUGUGUAGUGGCGAGUUAUGUACGUGUUGUUGUGAAUGAUAGAAAAUUUAUUUUUCGAAUAAAAUAUUUUUCAAUAUAUCCGCUGUUAGUG